UACGAAGGGGGCUAGCGUUGCUCGGAAUCACUGGGCGUAAAGGGUGCGUAGGCGGGUCUUUAAGUCAGGGGUGAAAUCCUGGAGCUCAACUCCAGAACUGCCUUUGAUACUGAGGAUCUUGAGUUCGGGAGAGGUGAGUGGAACUGCGAGUGUAGAGGUGAAAAUUCGUAGAUAUUCGCAAGAACACCAGUGGCGAAGGCGGCUCACUGGCCCGAUACUGACGCUGAGGCACGAAAGCGUGGGGGAAGCAAACAGGG
rnacentral:rRNA from 1 species